AGAGUUGAUCAUGGCUCAGGAUGAACGCUGGCGGCGUGCCUAACACAUGCAAGUCGAACGAAGCAGUUAUUACGAUCCCUUCGGGGUGACGAUUUACUGACUGAGUGGCGGACGGGUGAGUAACGCGUGGGUAACCUGCCUUGUACAGGGGGACAACAGUUGGAAACGACUGCUAAUACCGCAUAAGCGCACAGCUUCGCAUGAAGCAGUGUGAAAAAGUUUUUCGGUACAAGAUGGACCCGCGUCUGAUUAGCUAGUUGGUGAGGUAACGGCCCACCAAGGCGACGAUCAGUAGCCGACCUGAGAGGGUGACCGGCCACAUUGGGACUGAGACACGGCCCAAACUCCUACGGGAGGCAGCAGUGGGGAAUAUUGCACAAUGGGCGAAAGCCUGAUGCAAGCGACGCCGCGUGAGCGAAGAAGUAUUUCGGUAUGUAAAGCUCUAUCAGCAGGGAAGAUAAUGACGGUACCUGACUAAGAAGCACCGGCUAAAUACGUGCCAGCCGCCGC
rnacentral:rRNA from 1 species